UCCCACUGUCAAUGUCUAUGUUGAGGGAG
rnacentral:piRNA from 1 species